rnacentral:rRNA from 1 species
GUGAGGAAUAUUGCGCAAUGGGCGAAAGCCUGACGCAGCAACGCCGCGUGAGUGAUGAAGGCCUUCGGGUCGUAAAGCUCUGUCGGGAGGGAAGAAUGGCCUCGGAGUAACAUGCCGAGGUGAUGACGGUACCUCCGAAGGAAGCACCGGCUAACUCCGUGCCAGCAGCCGCGGUAAGACGGAGGGUGCGAGCGUUGUUCGGAAUUAUUGGGCGUAAAGAGCGUGUAGGCGGUUUGUUAAGUCAGAUGUGAAAGCCCGUGGCUUAACUGCGGAAGUGCAUUUGAAACUGGCAGACUAGAGUACGAGAGAGGGGAGUGGAAUUCUCAGUGUAGAGGUGAAAUUCGUAGAUAUUGGGAGGAACACCGGUGGCGAAGGCGACUCCCUGGAUCGAUACUGACGCUGAGACGCGAAAGCGUGGGGAGCAAACAGGAUUAGAAACCCGAGUAGUCC